rnacentral:rRNA from 2 species
UUAAAAUGAGAGUUUGAUCCUGGCUCAGGACGAACGCUGGCGGCGUGCCUAAUACAUGCAAGUCGAACGAAACUUUCUUACACCGAAUGCUUGCAUUCACCGUAAGAAGUUGAGUGGCGGACGGGUGAGUAACACGUGGGUAACCUGCCUAAAAGAAGGGGAUAACACUUGGAAACAGGUGCUAAUACCGUAUAUCUCUAAGGAUCGCAUGAUCCUUAGAUGAAAGAUGGUUCUGCUAUCGCUUUUAGAUGGACCCGCGGCGUAUUAACUAGUUGGUGGGGUAACGGCCUACCAAGGUGAUGAUACGUAGCCGAACUGAGAGGUUGAUCGGCCACAUUGGGACUGAGACACGGCCCAAACUCCUACGGGAGGCAGCAGUAGGGAAUCUUCCACAAUGGACGCAAGUCUGAUGGAGCAACGCCGCGUGAGUGAAGAAGGUCUUCGGAUCGUAAAACUCUGUUGUUAGAGAAGAACACGAGUGAGAGUAACUGUUCAUUCGAUGACGGUAUCUAACCAGCAAGUCACGGCUAACUACGUGCCAGCAGCCGCGGUAAUACGUAGGUGGCAAGCGUUGUCCGGAUUUAUUGGGCGUAAAGGGAACGCAGGCGGUCUUUUAAGUCUGAUGUGAAAGCCUUCGGCUUAACCGGAGUAGUGCAUUGGAAACUGGAAGACUUGAGUGCAGAAGAGGAGAGUGGAACUCCAUGUGUAGCGGUGAAAUGCGUAGAUAUAUGGAAGAACACCAGUGGCGAAAGCGGCUCUCUGGUCUGUAACUGACGCUGAGGUUCGAAAGCGUGGGUAGCAAACAGGAUUAGAUACCCUGGUAGUCCACGCCGUAAACGAUGAAUGCUAGGUGUUGGAGGGUUUCCGCCCUUCAGUGCCGCAGCUAACGCAAUAAGCAUUCCGCCUGGGGAGUACGACCGCAAGGUUGAAACUCAAAGGAAUUGACGGGGGCCCGCACAAGCGGUGGAGCAUGUGGUUUAAUUCGAAGCAACGCGAAGAACCUUACCAGGUCUUGACAUCCUUUGACCACCUAAGAGAUUAGG